rnacentral:rRNA from 1 species
UGUUCUUCGUGAACAUAGCGAACUGCUCAGUAACACGUGGAUAACCUACCCUUAGGACCGGAAUAACCCCGGGAAACUGGGGAUAAUACCGGAUAAGCCAUAGACGCUGGAAUGCCCUAUGGUUCAAAGCUCCGGCGCCUAAGGAUGGAUCUGCGGUCUAUCAGGUUGUAGUGGGUGUAACGUACCUACUAGCCGACGACGGAUACGGGUUGUGAGAGCAAGAGCCCGGAGAUGGAUUCUGAGACACGAAUCCAGGCCCUACGGGGUGCAGCAGGCGCGAACACUUUACAAUGCGGGAAACCGCGAUAAGGGAACCCCGAGUGCCAGCAUCAAAUGUUGGCUGUCCGGAUGAUUAAAAAUCAUUUGUUAGCAAGGGCCGGGCAAGACCGGUGCCAGCCGCCGCGGUAACACCGGCGGCCCGAGUGGUAGCCGUUUUUAUUGGGUCUAAAGGGUCCGUAGCCGGCUUGAUAAGUCCUUUGGGAAAUCUGGCAGCUUAACUGUCAGGCUUCUAAGGGAUACUGUCAGGCUUGGGACCGGAAGAGGUAAGGGGUACUCCAGGGGUAGGAGUGAAAUCUUGUAAUCCCUGGGGGACCAUCUGUGACGAAGGCGCCUUACCAGAACGGGUCCGACGGUGAGGGACGAAAGCUAGGGGAGCAAACCGGAUUAGAUACCCGGGUAGUCCUAGCUGUAAACGAUGCUCGCUAGGUGUCAGACACGGUGCGACCGUGUUUGGUUCCGCAGGGAAACCGUUAAGCGACCCCCCUGGGAAGUACGGUUGCAAGGCUGAAAAUUAAAGGAAUUGGCGGGGGGGCAC